rnacentral:rRNA from 1 species
UACGUAGGGGGCAAGCGUUGUCCGGAUUCAUUGGGCGUAAAGAGCGUGUAGGCGGCCAGGUAGGUCGGUUGUGAAAACUGGAGGCUCACCCUUCAGAGGUCGACCGAAACCAUCUGGCUAGAGUCCGGGAGAGGAGAGUGGAAUUCCUGGUGUAGCGGUGAAAUGCGCAGAUAUCAGGAAGAACACCCGUGGCGAAAGCGGCUCUCUGGAACGGUACUGACGCUGAGACGCGAAAGCGUGGGGAGCGAACAGG